CUACGGGGGGCUCCAGUGAGGAAUAUUGGACAAUGGUCGAAAGACUGAUCCAGCCAUGCCGCGUGCAGGAUGAAUGCCCUAUGGGUUGUAAACUGCUUUUAUACGGGAAGAACACCACCCACGUGUGGGUGACUGACGGUACCGUAAGAAUAAGGACCGGCUAACUCCGUGCCAGCAGCCGCGGUAAUACGGAGGGUCCAAGCGUUAUCCGGAAUCAUUGGGUUUAAAGGGUCCGUAGGCGGGCUAUUAAGUCAGAGGUGAAAGUUUGCAGCUCAACUGUAAAAUUGCCUUUGAUACUGGUAGUCUUGAGUUAUAGUGAAGUGGUUAGAAUAUGUGGUGUAGCGGUGAAAUGCAUAGAUAUCACAUAGAAUACCAAUUGCGAAGGCAGAUCACUAACUAUAUACUGACGCUGAUGGACGAAAGCGUGGGGAGCGAACGGGAUUAGAUACCCUGGUAGUC
rnacentral:rRNA from 1 species